rnacentral:rRNA from 1 species
CAGCAGCAGCCGCGGGAAUACAGAGGGUGCGAGCGUUAAUCGGAUUUACUGGGCGUAAAGCGUGCGUAGGCGGCUAAUUGAGUCGGAUGUGAAAUCCCCGAGCUUAACUUGGGAAUUGCAUUCGAUACUGGUUAGCUAGAGUGUGGGAGAGGAUGGUAGAAUUCCAGGUGUAGCGGUGAAAUGCGUAGAGAUCUGGAGGAAUACCGAUGGCGAAGGCAGCCAUCUGGCCUAAUACUGACGCUGAGGUACGAAAGCAUGGGGAGCAAACAGGAUUAGAUACCCGCGUAGUCCCUGUCUCUUAUAC